UUAAAUCCAGAAGGAAAACUUUGUGGCCACAAACAUUUUUCAGCAGAGAGCACCGGGUUAUUUUUCUUCAUGUUUCUUGACGGGUAAAGAAAACUCUUUCUCUGAAAGUCACAAAGCCAGUUUUCAGAUAGACGGAGGCAACAGAGAUGAACAACAAAGCCACAACAACUUCAAAUCUGAAGACUGAUGAUGAUGUCGAGGCGAUGAAAAUGAAGAAUUAACAUCUCGAAGAAAACCAAUUUGUUUUUGCGGCGUUCGUUAGCAUCAGUGUUGUUGAUCAGCUGCCAGGAAGGUUGCAUGUUGAUUGACAGGUGUGAUGGACUUGUGAACAUCGCAGCUAAUUUUGACAAAUAGCUCCAUGUGUAGCAUCACAGAUCGCAGCGGCAUGAAAUGAGCUUUAAUUACUGCCAGUUAUUGCAGCUCUGACGAUGUUUGUGCUUUGUUUUGCUCCAGCAGACUCGUUCGGCUUGUAGACGAGCCGAAUGUGAUGAUGUUGAAGGUGAACAUCUCGAAACAUUUGUGCACGACGUGUGCAAGUGCAUCAGUUAUUUAAAGCUUCUCCUGAACAUGAUUAACCUCCUGGUUUGUCUGUCUUUAUAUUCAGAUUUAAUUUCAGCAAAGACUCAUAAUUACCAGUUUCAGAUGUCUGAUGUGAGUUAAGAGCUCUAGUAUUUGUUUUGUUUGUUGUGCUUAUUCUAUAAUGGACACCCACAUGUUUUCAAAUUCCACAGGCUUGUGGGUGAAACUCACUUUAAUCAGAAGUGACAGAGGAAACUAAAUCAAAAUAAAUUUUAUUUUCAGAGUGGCAAUAAUGAUGUUUUGCUGCCGGGUAGAACAUAAACCUAAAACUAAACAGAUAUGAAGCUUAUGAUGGGUUAAAAACACGUUUCACAAAACUCAACAACAGA